CAUGUAGCGUUCUGAGUGGCCUGGGGAAAUCUGCGCUCCUGCUCCACCUCGCCUUGGAUACAAAUCCUUCUUUUGUCCAGCAUAUCCACACUUUCUACCCACCCAUCUGUUAGUCACUUCAUAGCCGGCUCAAUUACCAGAUGGACUGCUGUAACAUUGCAGUGCUUACGUUCAAGUAACCCUUCUCUUACUUCAUCAUGGCCUCAAAGCACAAGAGUAGUGAUGCUGGCAGUUUGGAUAUACCAAAGAGAAGCUGUAAAAUGCUUCCUUUUUCAGUGAAAAAGUGAAAGUUCUCCAUUUACUAAGGCUUUCACAGCUUUCUUCCCUUCAGCAGAGGGAGAAAAGCCAUCCAUCCAGUUUUAGUGGAGGCAAGAAAUUCAGGAGCCAUCAUUCCAAGCUCUAUGGCCAUCUUCUUCCUCUGGACCAUUUAAUCGGAAUCUAGAAAAUCCUACCCAGAGAAAGCAGAAAAGAGAGGACAAGAAUCUCCAUUUCUUUGGGUCCAUCACCUGAUGGUCAUCUGAUUUUCUGGUGGAUCAAGGAUCUGAGCGGGUCCUCGGAGAGCAAUACUCAUUGCAACCAAGACCAUUUUCAUGUUAAUCCCCGAGAGAGAGCUGCAGAGACAGACCUGACACUUGGGCCAUCAUAGUGACCUGGCUUCCAUCCAUGACUUUGAGAUCAGAGAGGCCCUGCAGGAAGAUGGGUGCAUUGGGCUUGCUGGGAGCCACAGGCAGAAGGUACUCGCUCUUCCCGCUACUCUUCUUUUCUGUGUGGUAGAAAACAGAGUGUGGGGUGAACGUUCAUGCAUUCAUUCAACAAACACAGACUAAAUGACCACUUGGUACAUGACUGUGUUGAUGCUCAGGUUCCCACCAGAAACUGGCAGCUAACAGAUGAAGAGUGUUUGGAGUUCCUAGAGAUCAUUAGGAACAAGAUGCCUCCAAUUUCUCUGCUUGGCAAUGAUGAGGUUCUUGCCUGAUAGCCAGGAAUGAACAAUGAGUGCCUAUAAGUUUGUGAGUUUUUAAAACAUUUUAUUUAUUUUUCAAAUAAAUGAUACCCUCACAUGGCACAAAAUUCAAAAGAUACCAAAGAGUAUGGCAAGUCUCCCUCCCACCCCAUCCCCUGGCCACCAGUGAUCUCUCCUCAGAGGCAACGAGUUUUCAGUUUCUUGUUCAUCUUGGCAGAGAUGAUCUACGUGUGUAACAUAUGGAAGCAAACAGCAUUUAUUAUCUUCUUAAAAAGUAAAUGAAAGCACGUUAUACAAAAUAAUUGGCAUGUUUUUAACUUAACAGUACGUCUUGGUGUCUCUCAUAAGGCAGAACUGAAACGCUUCUUUGUCAUUUUCUAUAAUUAUAUGGUGCUCCAUUCCCAUCCUAGGAAGUUUUAAGCACCUCAUGAAAGCCAAGGACACUACACUCAUUAGAACGGCUAAAAAUAAAAAGACAUCACAUCCCAAGAAUUGGUCUUGACAAGGAUGUGGAGCAACUUGCAAAUCUCAUAUAUGGCAGGUGGUACAGAACCUCCUGAAAACAGCUUGGCAGUUUCUUAAAAAGUUAAACAUAUACUUCCCUUAGGAUCUAGUCAUGCUACUCCUGGGUAUGUCCCCGAGAGAAAUGCAAGCACAUAUCCAUACAAAGUCGUGUACACAAACUUUCAGAGCAGCUUCAUUCACAAUAGCUGCAAACUAGAAAUGACCCAAAUAUCCAUCAACAGGUGAGUAAAUAAACAAAUUGUGAUAUAUCCACACAAUGGAAUAUUACUCAGCAACAAAAAAGAAUGAACUACUGAGGGCACCACAACAGGGAUGAAUCUCACAAUAAUUAUGUUGAAUGAAAGACACCAAGCUGUAGGACCAGCUACUUGGGAGGCUGAGGUGGGAGGAUCACUUGAGCAUGGGAGGUUGAGACUGCAGUGAGCCAUGAUCACACCACUGCACUCCAGCCUGGAAGACAGAGUACGACUCUGUCUCAAAAGCAAAAACAAACAAACAAAAAAAAAAAAAAAAAGGAAGAAGCUAGACAAAGAGAGAGUACAUACUGGAUGACUCCAUUUAUAUAAAAUUCUAGAAAAUGCAAAGUCCAGUGACAGAAAGCAGGUCAGUAGUGGUGUGGGGCAGGGGACGGGAGGUUGGAUUAUAAAGGGGCAUGAGGAAACAUUUGGAGACAAUGAGAAUUUCACUUUAAAAAAUCAUGGCAAAGGUUUCAUGUGUGUACAUAUGGCAAAACUUAACAAAUUAAAC
rnacentral:lncRNA from 1 species